CGCGUAUUUCGCGCAGGCGGAGCUCGACCGCCCGUUCCGGAAAUGAUCGCGUUCAUUGCAGAUCAUCGAGAGGUCUUCGGGGUCGAGCCGAUCUGUCGCGUGCUGCCGAUCGCCCCC
rfam:Paracoccus saliphilus strain DSM 18447 genome assembly, contig: Ga0111667_112